CUGCUUUUGUGAUUCGUAAGUGUGAUAACUGGGUGUUCAAGGGAUAUGCCUCCCUUGAACCUUGUUACAGUGUCAGCACAGUACCUGACUGAUG
ensembl:snoRNA